GGCCUCGUGGCCCAAUGGCAAGGCUUUUAACUACGAGGAUGAUCCGUCCAAAUAGAUCUUUAGACAAGUAAUCAGGAGAUUCUAGGUUCGACCCCUAGCGAGGUCA